rnacentral:tRNA from 2 species
GGAAGGAUGGCAGAGCGGUUGAAUGCACUAGUCUUGAAAACUAGCAUGGGUUAACGCCCAUCCAGGGUUCGAAUCCCUGUCCUUCCACCA